GACGAACCGUGCGAACGUUGUUCGGAAUCACUGGGCUUAAAGGGCGCGUAGGCGGGCUGCCGAGUCCGGGGUGAAAUCCUGCGGCUUAACCGGCGGAACUGCCCCGGAUACUGGCGGCCUCGAGUGGGGUAGGGCGUGCGGAACUCUGGGUGGAGCGGUGAAAUGCGUUGAUAUCCAGAGGAACUCCGGUGGCGAAGGCGGCACGCUGGACCCCGUCUGACGCUGAGGCGCGAAAGCCAGGGAG
rnacentral:rRNA from 1 species